AGCGCUGCUGGCGCUAUACAAAGAAAAGCCGUUAGAAUAAGGUUAACGGCCUACGGUUUCGUAACGCCGCUGCAAUAAAGGGACGGGGCAUAUAGUAUGUAUCUAUUUCAAAUAGUAUAUGUCCUAAAGGGUAGAAGAUAUUGCGACGCCUGUACCGCUUGGCGAUGAAAUAGCGGACGAAUUAGCAAUAACGGGUAUGGUUGAAUCGCCGGAGUUAGAUUCCGGAUAGCUGCGAAAGUGGCGGGAUUAUAUAGAAUAUCAGCAAUGAUAUAUAAGUAGGGCAUGGAUUUAGACACUUAUUAAUAUAUACGAUAGUAAAAUAUCGGCUUUAAAUA
rnacentral:ncRNA from 1 species